rnacentral:rRNA from 1 species
UACGAAGGUGGCAAGCGUUGUUCGGAUUUACUGGGCGUACAGGGAGCGUAGGCGGUUGGAUAAGCCCUCCGUGAAAUCUCCAGGCUUUAACCUGGAAAGUGCAGAGGGGACUGUUUCAGCUAGAGGAUGGGAGAGGAGCGCGGAAUUCCCGGUGUAGCGGUGAAAUGCGUAGAGAUCGGGAGGAAGGCCGGUGGCGAAGGCGGCGCUCUGGAACAUUUCUGACGCUGAGGCUCGAAAGCGUGGGGAGCAAACAGG